rnacentral:rRNA from 1 species
UACGGGGGGGGGGCAAGCGUUGUUCGGAAUUACUGGGCGUAAAGGGCUCGUAGGCGGCCAACUAAGUCGGAUGUGAAAUCCCCCAGGCUUAACCUGGGAACUGCAUCCGAUACUGGAUGGCUUGAAUCCGGGAGAGGGAUGCGGAAUUCCAGGUGUAGCGGUGAAAUGCGUAGAUAUCUGGAGGAACACCGGUGGCGAAGGCGGCAUCCUGGACCGGCAUUGACGCUGAGGAGCGAAAGCCAGGGGAGCAAACGGG